rnacentral:rRNA from 1 species
UAGGGAAUCUUCGGCAAUGGACGAAAGUCUGACCGAGCAACGCCGCGUGAGUGAAGAAGGUUUUCGGAUCGUAAAACUCUGUUGGUAGAGAAGAACGUUGGUGAGAGUGGAAAGCUCAUCAAGUGACGGUAACUACCCAGAAAGGGACGGCUAACUACGUGCCAGCAGCCGCGGUAAUACGUAGGUCCCGAGCGUUGUCCGGAUUUAUUGGGCGUAAAGCGAGCGCAGGUGGUUUAUUAAGUCUGGUGUAAAAGGCAGUGGCUCAACCAUUGUAUGCAUUGGAAACUGGUAGACUUGAGUGCAGGAGAGGAGAGUGGAAUUCCAUGUGUAGCGGUGAAAUGCGUAGAUAUAUGGAGGAACACCGGUGGCGAAAGCGGCUCUCUGGCCUGUAACUGACACUGAGGCUCGAAAGCGUGGGGAGCAAACAGGAUUAGAUAGCCCUGGUAGUCCACGCGUAAACGAUGAGUGCUAGAUGUAGGGAGCUAUAAGUUCUCUGUAUCGCAGCUAACGCAAUAAGCACUCCGCCUGGGGGAGUACGACCGCAAGGUUGAAAC